rnacentral:rRNA from 2 species
AGGGAGCAAGCGUUAUCCGGAUUUACUGGGUGUAAAGGGCGUGUAGGCGGGCAUGCAAGCCAGAAGUGAAAUCUGGGGGCUUAACCCCCAAACUGCUUUUGGAACUGCGUGUCUUGAGUGAUGGAGAGGCAGGCGGAAUUCCCAGUGUAGCGGUGAAGUGCGUAGAUAUUGGGAGGAACACCAGUGGCGAAGGCGGCCUGCUGGACAUUAACUGACGCUGAGGCGCGAAAGCGUGGGGAGCAAACAGGAUUAGAUACCCUGGUAGUCCACGCCGUAAACGAUGGAUACUAGGUGUGGGAGGUAUUGACCCCUUCCGUGCCGCAGUUAACACAAUAAGUAUCCCACCUGGGGAGUACGGCCGCAAGGUUG